UCCGUCCCGAUUUCGGUUGAGUUUCGGGCACCGCCUGGCGCCGAGCACCGAGCACCGAGCACCGAGCGCCAAGCGCAUGCAUCAAGUGUAACAUUUGUUCAGUUUCAGUUUUUCCCGGGAACUCGACGCAGCGUGUUGUCUUGGCACCGCUAAGCCAGCGCCAGAGCCAGAGCAACAGCCAGAGUCAGAGCCAAAACCAAGAACCAGAGCCACAGAAGCAGAGCAUCCAAACAGACGGAGCCACAGUGAGAGCCGAAGCCGGAUCCGGAGCCAGAGCCGAGCUCAGCAUCUUCUGGUUCUAAGAAACAUAAUUUUUUGGUUUUUUUUUUUUUUGGAGAUCAAUUGCAAGAUUGUUUUUUGUGUUUUUGUGAGUGCAACUAAUUAAGAGUAUUGUUUUAUGAACAUUAACUGAAAACCAAGGAAAGCAAACAAACGGAAAAGCAAUCCGUUGCCGAAAAGAAAAUUGCACAGGAAACCCACACCCCCAAAAGCAGGUAAACACGAAAAUUGGCGAGGAAAAUUAUCAUCGAGUCACGUAAUUAAAACGAAACGUAAGACGAGCAGAAAGAAGAAGCAGCAGGCGAGUAGCAACAGGCAAAUAUUUGCAUACCACUGGAAGAGCGAGAAAGAGAGAGAGAGAAGGCGAGAGUGUGCGAAGGAAAACGCUAACGGGGCUAAUAAUAAACUAAGGCCCAACUACCGCGUUAGCGUGGCCAUAACCAUUGCCCGUUACGGCUA
rnacentral:sRNA from 1 species